AUGCUUGCUUCGGCAGCACGUACACUAAAAUUGGAACGAUAUAGAGAAGGUUACCAUGCCCUCUGCGCAAAGAUGACACGAAAAUUCGUGACACAUUCCAUAUUUAA